CAAAUACUUCCUCCGUCAUAAAAUUCUUAUCUUAGAUUUGUAUAGAUAUGAAUGUAUAUAGUCACAUUUUAGUAUUUUGAUACAUCUAUUUCUAUACAAAUCUAAGACAAGAAUUUUAGGACAGAGGGAGUACAUC
rnacentral:pre_miRNA from 1 species